rnacentral:pre_miRNA from 1 species
CAACUACUCCCUCUGUCCCAAAUUUCUUGUCUUAGAUUUUUCUAGAUACAGAUGUAUCUAAUACUAAAAUGUGACUUGAUACAUCCGUAUCUAGACAAAUCUAAGACAAGAAUUUUGGGACGGAGGGAGUACUUU